rnacentral:tRNA from 1 species
GGUAGAAUGGCCGAAGAGAGGUAAUAAAUUGUAAAUUUAUUCAUGGGGGUAACCCCUUCUGCCA